rnacentral:lncRNA from 1 species
ACACACACAACUCUUUUUCUAUUAUUAUUUGUUUUUUCUUCUCUUUUCUUUUCUUUUCUUUUCUUUUUUUUUUUACAUCCACAUUUACACCAAGUACAAAUUAUAAAAAAAAAAACUCAAAAUUACACAAAUAUUACAUUACACAAUUUGAAAAUUACAAAAUAAUCCAAAAAAUCAGGAAAAACAACUCUGGGAUGCAUUCUGGGUCUGCCUGAACAGUAGCGGCGCAUCUCCCCACGCGCCUCCGCCAUUGGCGGCGCGUGGAUUCACGCGCCGCUGCUGACAAUGACCGGAAAUGGGCAGAUCUGCCCUGCUUUCUUCUUCCCUUCCCUUCUCUGCUGGCUGUGAGAACCACAGUUACCUGCAAAGGUAAAAACACACAUGCAAAGCUUCCGAUUCUUUUUCCCUUUUUUUUUUUAGAUCUACGCUCUCUUGUCUUCUCCUUUUGGUUUUCUGUUCUUCCCUUCUGCAGGUGGCGGACGGCUCUGAGGUCAGGGUGUCUCUGUGAGCGGCUGGAGGAAGGUGAGCAGCGGCUGGUUUCUGUGGGCGCCGCCGUAUGGGGGCUGUCGCUGGAGGGCAAAUCUGCGAACGCUGCUGGAGGGAGAAGACGGACCGCUCCGAGUCUGUGGGCGAUGCUGCUGCUGACGGCGAAGACCAGGAAGAAGACAGCGGGGGCUGACGUUGUGUUCGGCUUGAGGAAGAGAGCUUGUCCGUGGGUGAGGGGGGAGUGAGCGGCUGCUUAGGUGAGGGGGGAGUGAGCUUGUCCGUGGGUGAGGGGGGACGGCGGCUGUCUUCAACAGGGAAAGGGAGGCUUCGGCUGAGGGGAGAAGACUGGGGUCCGUCUGGUCAGAAGAGGAAGGUCGGCUGAGGGAGAAGAGAAAAAAUCAAAAAAGGGGGGGGGGCUGGCCAGGCGGCGACUGCCUUCUGGUGAGGGAGAGAAAAAGCUAAGCUUUUAGGGUUUGUGUUUUUUUGUGUUGCCUCUCCCCCAAAUCUCAAAAUGGCCCCCCUUUGGUUUUGAGUUUUGGACCUAUAUUUAUAGGUAAAAUGUUGUCCGGACUCAAAAUUGGUCCUUCAAUUUUUUUUUUUGUAAAUUUUGAUUUUUCUUGUUUUUUCUUGUAUUUUUAAAAACGAGCAAUAUCAACGUUGACUCAAAGAGAAAAAUCAAGGAUUUUAAAAACAACGCGUGAAAAUUCGAACGCAUUCGAAAACUUCUGAAAAUUUAAAUUUUUUUUUAGACGACGUUGAAAAUGCUAAAAACGAUGCAAAUAUAUAAAAACAUAUUUUUUUGGAUUUUCGUUGUUUUUCGCUAUUUUUGGAUUUUUUCAAAACUUUUAUCAAAUAGGUGGGUCAAAAAUUGAGUAGCAACAGAUGCCCCCUCUUUACAAUGCUUACGAAGCAAAAUUCCUCAAUGUUUUGCAUAGUAAGCUUUGUAAAGAAAAGAAAAAGAAAAUGAUCUCAUUAUCUUGGGCAACUGCCCCUUUUAAAGAAAAAGUGGUCUAUUUUCACGGGCGACCUGCCCACACAUACUCAUUAUGGUCUAUUUUUAGGGGCGACCUGCCCACACACUCACACGGGUCUAUUUUCACGGGCGACCUGCCCACACAUACUCAAAGUGGUCUAUUUUCACGGGCGACCUGCCCACACACUCACACAAUGGUCUAUUUUCAAGGGCGACCAGCCCACACAUACUCAAAGUGGUCUAUUUUCACGGGCGACCUGCCCACACACUCACACUGGUCUAUUUUCACAGGCGACCUGCCCACACAUACUCAAAGUGGUCUAUUUUCAAAGGCGACCUACCAUUUUGAUUGGGUUUACCUGAGAUCCCAUCUGGCGAUCUAACAAGAACAAAAAUUGGUGUGUAGCUCGGUCAACCUGAAAUCCCAUCUAGCGAUUCCCUUUAACCAAAGCUAAAUUCUGCAUGGUUAGGCUAAACUGAGAUCCUUUUGCCGAUCCCCUUUAACCAGAACCAAAACUCUUGUGUGCGAUUAGGAUAGACUGAGAUUCCUUUCGCCAAUCCCCUCUAACCAGAACCGAAACUCUUGUAUGGUUAGGAUAGACUGAGAUUCCUUUCGCUAAUCCCCUCUAACCAGAACCAAAAUCUAUGUGGUUGGGCUGAACUGAGACCCCUUCGCCGAUCCCCUUCAACCAGAACCAAAACUCCUGUGUGCGGUUAGGAUAGACUGAGAUUCCUUUCGCCAAUCCCCUCUAACCAGAACCGAAACUCCUGUAUGGUUAGGAUAGACUGAGAUUCCUUUCGUCAAUCCCCUCUAACCAGAACCAAAAUCUGUGUGGUUGGGCUGAACUGAGACCCCUUCGCCGAUCCCCUUCAACCAGAACCAAAAUCUGUGUGCGGUUAGGAUAGAUUGAGAUUCCUUUCGCCAAUCCCCUCUAACCAGAAUCGAAACUCCUGUAUGGUUAGGAUAGACUGAGAUUCCUUUCGCCAAUCCCCUCUAACCAGAACCAAAAUCUGUGUGGUUAGGCUGAACUGAGACCCCUUCGCCGAUCCCCUUCAACCAGAACCAAAACUCCUGUGUGCGGUUAGGAUAGACUGAGAUUCCUUUCGCCAAUCCCCUCUAACCAAAACCAAAACUCCUGUAUGGUUAGGAUAGACUGAGAUCAGAACCAAAAUCUGUGUGUGUAGCUCGGUCUACCUGAAAUCCCAUCUGGCGAUUCCCUUUAACCAAAGCUACGUGAGAUCCCAUCUGGCGACCUCCUUUAACAAAAACCAAAAAAUGUAAAAAGUGGUCUCAUUGUAAUGGGUGACCUACCCAGAUGAAAGAAUGUUAAAAACGGUCUCAUUAUGAUGGGUGACCUACCCAAGUGGAAAAAAUGAUGGUCUCAUUGUGAUGGGUGACCUACCCAAAGAAAGAUGGUCUCAUUAUGAUGGGUGACCUACCCAGAGAAAGAUGGUCUCAUUAUGAUGGGUGACCUACCCAGAUGGAAAAAUGUGACUUACCUGGCAAAAAGACUUGGCUGGAGAAGUCUUGACAGGAUAAGGUUGACAAACUGCGCUUCCUGAUUACAGGGUUGACUUGAAGACCCCUCUUGAUGACAGGGUUGAUCUCCUCGUUUCUUUGAGAUUCCCCUACUAGCAGGGUUCAUCUCAUUCUCUUCUCGUUCCAGGAUCUAAACCAAUUCUUUGUUAUCAUCAACUCAAUGAUUCUUUCUUUGUCCACAAUCUUGCUGGACUUCAUUGAGGAUCUUCCUGUAACAAUCACAAGUAUGUGCAGUGCUUUGAGGUUAGAUGGCAUGCAUGCAUCCUUACCUGAUUUGAAAUAUAGGUCCCCCCCUCUUUGAUGAUCCAUUGUUAUGAGGUGCCUUUGUUUGCAUUCCAAAGCUUUCUUUGUUCUUUCGAUGCAUUUGCGUGCUAGCCUUCUACUCAAAUGCAAGUACAAUGCCCAUCUUAGGCUGUCCACGGUGAUUACUACUCUCGUUGUUUAUCAAGCUGGACUCUGCCCCCAAGUGUGGUGUUGCUUGAUUCAUCAUGAAGGAUUUUCUCUUUUGGAUUCUUCUAAGAAUUAUCCUCUGAUUGGUUGUGUGCAUCAUGCCAACACCCAUCAAAAUGGUCAAUCAAUCAUGAACUUACUUCCAGCUAAAACAAUACUUUUCAAGUAUAUGUUAUCAUCAACCUUCUUGGAACUGUCAGGUCAUCCAGACAUGGAUCUCAUACCUUGCAGUAAAAGCCUCAUCGUUGUUAGCUCAAUGUUUUUCUCCAUGGAUUCCUCUCAGUUUGUCAAAUCAAAUCAUGAAAGGAAAUGCAUUGGCAUCAUCAAUGAUGUUCAUCACCCAUAUUCAUGCAGUGAAGUGCGCAUUUGAGCUUCAAAACAAAUGGUCCCACAGUCAAUCUUAGUGGGUGCAUCCUUCCAACAUUCAUUCAAAUGCAACAAUGUGAUAACAUCGCUCAAAAGUCAUAGCCAUGUUGGAGAUGAUAAACCAAAAUGAAGAUAUGAAAAUAUCCUUCAAGUGCAGCGUUGCCCAUUAAUUGCUGCUGAAGUUCACUAAAUCAUGGAUUGUCUUUGAACAACAUUGCCCCCAAUAUGAUCUGAACAUGCUCAUUCUUCUUUCUAUAACCAAAUGGCUUUUGUGAUCGCUAAGAAUGACUUUGAUGGACUUCGCCAACUCAUCGUUCGAUUCUUUCUCUGCCCCCAGCUGAUCUGAAUACCUUUUGUUUUCCUUCUCAGGGUCCACUGUAUUGACCCAGGUGGUCAACUUUUCAAGGAGUGUCAAGAAGUGUUGAUGUCAUUCUUGUCAAGGAUUUUGCAAACUCGAUCGAUAUUCUUCUUAUUUGACAAUCUUUCUAUUCUGGAAUCAACUCUCAUACUCCAAAGAUCAUGUCUAUCCAAAGUCUAGUUGUUGGAAUGAAAUCAGAGAGAUGUCAAUUUUGAAAAGUAUUUUUGGAAAUCAAGCUUGUUUGGUCAAAGAUCCAACACACGUUAUUCAAUGUAGUCCUUUGAUUGUCGUGUAUUUUGAAAACAGAAAUGACCCGUUGUAAGAUUAAAAUGACUUUUUUCAUGGUUCUUUGUGUCAGUUUUAAUCUUUGAUCUUUGGGUAUACCUUUCGAUGGUCUACGAUGAGGUGACCUUCUGUGAAUUUCAAGAAACAAAAGGCUCAAGUCAAAACUUGAGGAUUCAUCAAGAAAGAUUGUUUUCUUUUUUUUAGCACCAAUUUUAUCAGCAUGCAUAAUAACCAGUAGCUUAAUCCAUGAAGUCACGACCCUUAUGGAAAAGCUCUUCAAGUUUUGAGAGCGCCAUUUAUCAAUUCAAAUUGCUUGCUUGAUUAAAAAGGGCUUUUAAAAGCACGUAAUGCAGGCUAUGGUUCAUGGCUAUGAAAGAAAGGAAUUUCACAGGCUCAAAUGGUGUUUAAGGGUUUCAAAGACCCAGGAUCAACAUCAACUAUUCACCAACUUGUUUUCUAUUGUUGUCUUUGUAGAGGAAACGACAUAUAACCUUGUUAAUCUCAAAGAUCAGACUUCUCUUAACAUAAGUCAUAAUGCAAAUCCACCUUUCCUUAAUGAAUAACCAACCUUAAUCAUCUGAUAACAUCAUAGGCUUGAUAAUGGAAACCAAAAGUCACGUUUAUAGCUUAGUCUUUUUUCUGGUGUUGACUUUUGUUGUGUCUUUCCUUGAUUGAAAUUUCUUUUGCCCUUCCUAGACUUGAUAGGCGUUCUCCUUCCUUUAUCUUUGACUUGCCUUUAAACGAAGGCAAUUUCAACUUCUUCUUUUUUUCAAUUCUUUUUUUUUUCUUUUUUUUUCUUUUUUGUUUUCUCAUAGCCUUCCUCAAAAUUUCUUAUAUGCCCCCAGUCUAUGUGUUUUCUUUUAGCCCUCUCUCAAUCAUUGGACUUUUGUUCUAAGCCUUCCCCUUUAUCCAUUAAUUAUAUCAAUGUCUCCAACAUAUCUCUCAUCUGCCCCCAGUGUGGGGUGUGAUCCAAGUCAGGGUUUUUAUGAAAAGAAUAUUCUAUCCAGCUCAAAAUGGGACUACAAGGGAUAUAAUCUUUAGAAAGUGAAGGGAUAUCAAAGAUGGCCUUUUCUCAUUUCAAGCAAGGUCGGUUAGAACCGAUCAAUUUUGACCCCAUCCGGUGUAAUGAUUGGGACUUGUAAGAAUUAUGAUUCACGAGUCCAUAACUACCGAAUCCACUACAUGUUAUUAUGCAUACUGCUAAAACUUAGCUAUAUGAUGUGUGGUUCAGUUUCAGGAGGUAUGAGUUCAAAAUUGUUUAGUCACCUCAUGUCAUUUUCAAGCAUCGAGUCAUUUCUGUAAUCAAAACACUUUUAAUCUUCCGGAUUGAUUAACCUUUAUCGCAUGUUGGAGUUUGAUCAAAAUAUUUUGUCAGAAUGAAAUGCUAAACAUCUUUGGAUUUCAAAACAACAAAGAGACAAAAACAAGACAUGUUUCGUUAAAGGAUGAGAUGUGAUCCCAAAACAAAAUGCAGAAUUCCAUAACAAUAUGAUUGACAAUUCAUCGCCAUUCUUGAAUCAGCUUUUCUGGCAAUAUCUGUGUUUUGCCAAGCACUUUCGAUCACAUGUCAUUCUGAAGAUGUUCGGGGGAUAAUAUAGCCAAUGACACUCUCCUUCACAAACUCUACUUGUCUCUUGCUCACUGACUUCCGGACUCGCUUCUUGAAAUUCUUGCAACUGUUCCAGUAAAUGGCUGAGUACCCCACCAUGACAUCACAUCUCUUGUUCGGAUUAUACCACCUAAAAAAUGGUAGUUGCAUGGGAUUUGUCGGAGUCAAGCAAAAAUCUGGAAUCUGGCAGAUGCUGGUAAAUAAACUCACAUGACAACUGUUCAAUUGAAAUUCUUGCAGCAAUUCCAUUGAAAUGGCCGAGGACCCCACCAUCACAUCACAUCACAUCACAUCUCUUGUCUGGAUUAUACCACAUGGCAAAUGAAUGUCUAUCUUUGGCAAAGACAUUGGAGUAGUCGAUGAUACAACGAGACUUGGCUAGACCACAUAAUUAAGGUUUCCCACCGUCAGAGUCUUCCUUUGAUUCAUCUCUCAUCAUUGUUCUGGAAUCCUUGGCAGAACCUUCAAUCUUUCCCAUCUUGAUAGCUUGUUCAUUUUUUUGGCAAUUCAUACAACUUCAUGUCAAUCUUCCAAUGUUAUUGUUGUUGUUUUAGGAUUGUUGGAAACCUCUCAAUAGCUAAGGAAUCCUGGUAGUGCAUAAAAACAAAAACGUGUGGAAUCACACAUUGUCAAAACUGGAAGAGAGCCCGAUGAAUCUAAAGCUCCUCUAUCUCCUCUUCGAUUCCUCACAGACAAUGGAACAAACAGACAUCUGUAAAGGGAGUUCUGCUCUGUUAAAGUUUCAGUCUUCUUCAUGUUGUUUAGUCCAGGUUUGUCUUUUCUCCCUUCUUUUGCGUUGUAAUGUCGAUACUGGUAGGGGAAAAUUGUGGACAAUCUGAAACCACUGCAUCCCUUCUUGGGUUUCCCACUUGCAGACCCAUAAACAGAUUUCUGCUGAGAAAGCUCUGCCACGUUGAAGUUUGAUGUCUACUCAUGUUUUUCAGACUAGAUCUGACUCUUCUCCCUGCUACAAUGUUUUGCUGGUGCCACUGGUGGGAGAAAUUUUCAAAGCAUGUGAAACUACUACAUCCCCUCUUGCAUUCCCCACAAAUAAAUCUUUACAGAGAGCUCUGCAACGUGGAAGUUCAGUGUCUAAUCCUGUUGCUGAACUGGAAUUGAGCUCACAAUUGUGGUAACUUUAAAGAAGACUAAUGCACCAUGCAUAUGAGGCUAGUAGUUAUUUGGUUCCAUUAAAAGAUGUGGAGGCGAUGAAAAAUUAACAGUGCAACUGAACAAGAGCAAAGGUUGUCAUUAGCUGAUGACUAAAAGCAUUGUUGUUGCUGUUCAUGACUGAAAAGGAGAGGUACAGCUUCAAUUAGACGUGAAUAAGCAGUGUUCCCACAGAAGACUGUGCAGACAUUCUCUUUCCAUUUGAUGCUCAACACUUGUUCGAGCAAAUCUGAGUCUAGCUACUUCACCUUUGAUGCUCUCAACCUCAAUCUGAUAAUGAGCCUCUAUCCAUAAUCUUUCUUCCCUUCCAUCAUCUUUCUUCCAUCACGUGCAGCACAGCUUGUGCGAGGGACCUACCUUUCAACCCGGUACAUGCAUGAUAAAUGUAUGAAUAUGUAAUCUAUAUGACGAACUCGCCCUUCGAGGGGUGACAUAUGAUCGCAACUCUUGCAUGAUGAAACAAGAAUCUUGAUUCUUGCACAAACUCUACAAUGAAAAUUUUCUGAGCGACGAUCAUUGUGUCACCCAUAAGUCUGGAGUUCAAGAUGCUUCAAGAAGGGCUUGCUUGGAUGCAAAACAAUGUCUACGGAGCAUACAUCCUAAAGACAGUUCUAAUCCUUUUUAAGUGGGACAAAAGGUAGGUUUACUACUUGGUCUCUAAAAAGGGUCUCUCGUUGUCCCAGUGAUUACCCUCUUGAAGGCAAUAUAGGGGCUUGUAGGCAAUGAGAUGGCACGUGUCCAACUAUUACCAGUCUAAGCACUCAACGAAGAGUUGGGGUUUACACAAACUUAAACCUUGACUAAAAUCAUAAGGUAAGCUGCUAGUCCCCCUCCUAACCUGAAGCUUGUGUGUGCUUUAAAAAAUUACACUAUGUGAUGCAUGAGACAAUUCUACAAAAUGCAUGGAUAAAACAAAAAUAAAAUAGGACAAAAUUGUAAAAACAUAAACGCAUCAAAAACACAAAGCUUAGUCCAAUAAUGUUGAAAACAAUACCUUCCCCAGUGGAGUCGUCAUUCUGUCGCACGUCCGAAAAUCCGCGCGGCAUCGGGCUUGACGACUUUUUCGUCUUCUCGUUUGCUUUGAUUACAUCGUUAGGAGUCGCCACCUAGUAUUUAAUUGAGGGCUACUAGGAAACCCGGGUGUACUGGUCUCGUCAGAGAUUCAUGGGUAAGGGACUGGUUGUGGUUAGGGAAGGUAUUAGCACCCCUAACGCACCCUACCUGAGGUAAGCUGCUUCGUGGACUUGAUGUGUUAAAGAAGUUUUAAAAUUCGGUUCAUUCAUCGAAUUUUAGAAAAUACAACUUACACUUACAUGUAAGUUCAUAAUUCUUUAUCCGUGAGCAAAUCAGAAUAUUAAAUUCUUCUUUAUUCUCGCAAUUUUAUCCUAAAAAAAACAUUCAUAAACAAAAUACACACCACACAUUCACUUUCAAGCUUCGUGGACUUGAUGUGAUUUAAAAAAUAAAAUUUUAGCCCAAUUCUAAGGCUUUGAUAAAUCAGUUAUUACUUCCCAAAAUAUAUGUAGAUACAUGUUCUAUAUUUUUAUGGAAAAUACAACAUGAUUUUUAUCUGUCCUUUAGAUAUUUGUGCAUAUAAAUUAAAAUAUUAAAUUCAUUUUUUUUUAUUCAAUAACAUACCUAAAAAACAAUACAAACACACACACAACUCUUUUUCUAUUAUUAUUUGUUUUUUCUUCUCUUUUCUUUUCUUUUUUUUUUUCUUACAUCCACAUUUACACCAAGUACAAAUUAUAAAAAAAAAACUCAAAAUUACACAAAUAUUACAUUACACAAUUUGAAAAUUACAAAAUAAUCCAAAAAAUCAGGAAAAACAACUCUGGGAUGCAUUCUGGGUCUGCCAGAACAGUAGCGGCGCGUCUCCCCACGCGCCUCCGCCACUAGCGGCGCGUGGAUUCACGCGCCGCUGCUGACAAUGACCGGAAAUGGGCAGAUCUGCCCUGCUUUCUUCUUCCCUUCCCUUCUCUGCUGGCUGUGAGAACCACAGUUACCUGCAAAGGUAAAAACACACAUGCAAAGCUUCCGAUUCUUUUUCCCUUUUUUUNNNNNN